CAGGCCAGGGGUUCCGGGAUAGCCACCUCCAUACAGAGGCUUUUGGUCAAGCAUCAUGGAUGGGUCCUGGCCUGCAAAAUGCUCCAGCUGCUGCUCUGCUCCCUGGGUCUGCAGCACAUAGGACAAGGAGGACAAAGACAGCACAGACGGACUCCUUAAGGCUCAUCUAUCUCCCUUCAGUGAGAGGACAGUGAACACAAGAGCGCUACAAGCCUACACAUGAGAUUGUCUGCUUUUUGACACCUUACCUGGCUGACAAGGUCUGGGAUACCAAGAGCUCGGUCUAUCUCCUCCAGAGCGAUGCCGUCUGUGUUAUUUAGCAGUGAAUCCAGCUGGUCCAG